AAUAUGCUAGUGUAUACGAAUAAAUAACUAAUUUUUUGUUAAUAUGUAUUUACUGCAAAUUUUUUUAUAGAUUGAAUACGCAUUUAGUAGAUAUUCGCAAGUAUAUCCAAAUGUUGUUGUUGUUCCCAAAGAGCAAAGGCUUCAACUACUCCGGCCUUAUCGAUGGGCUUUAUCGCAAUAAAUCUUAUCAUUAUCCAUAUUUAUAAUUCGUGAAAAUGAUGCUGGAUGCAGUGGUGGCGGCGGCGGCGGCGGCGGCGGCGCCGAGUAUAAUCAUCGCCUGCAACAAAUGCUGUUGACGAUCAUGUUCAUGUAAACGUUGACGAUCACGAUCACGAUCAUCCCACAUGUCUCCUAGUACUACUUACUCCUCCUUUCUACUAUUGUACAGUUCAUAAGCUAAGCUCGCUCUCUCACAAGAUUUAUAUACUCGUACAUAUAUACAAAUGUACUCUAGUCUCAUUAUACUAGACAUUUAACAUGCAGACAUACAUAUGUACGUACGUACGUACUUAUACAUAGAUAGUGUAUUUGUUUGUAAGCGCUAACAAAUUAUUUAAAUAGCGAAAAAAUUACGUAAACGUUGAAGCGUUGAAAUUAUAGUUGGAAGUUGAAAGUUGGCAUGUGAUGGAUUGUAUGUAUAUUUGUAGAAAAUGUUUGACGAUCUCUAUUUAGCUACUAUUUAAUGAUUAACAAAACGUGUUGUUGUUGGCCCGAAAAAGUGCAAAACAGUUAAAAAAAA